AGAGUUUGAUCCUGGCUCAGAACGAACGCUGGCGGCGUGCUUAACACAUGCAAGUCGAACGCGAAAGGGAUCUUCGGAUCCCCGGUAGAGUGGCGCACGGGUGAGUAACGCGUAAAUAAUCUACCCUGAUGUCUGGAAUAAUUAGCCGAAAGGCUGACUAAUACGGGAUACAUGCUUUGCUGUUGGGUGAAGCAGGAAAGGUGGCCUCUAUUUAUAAGCUAUCGCAUUGGGAUGAGUUUGCGUACCAUUAGCUAGUUGGUGGGGUAAGGGCCCACCAAGGCGACGAUGGUUAGCGGGUCUGAGAGGAUGAUCCGCCACACUGGCACUGGAACACGGGCCAGACUCCUACGGGAGGCAGCAGUGAGGAAUAUUGCGCAAUGGGGGCAACCCUGACGCAGCGACGCCGCGUGAGUGAGGAAGGCCUUCGGGUCGUAAAGCUCUGUCAGCAGGGAAGAAGUGCAUGAUGGCUAAUAUCCAUUGUGUUUGACGGUACCUGCAAAGGAAGCACCGGCUAACUCCGUGCCAGCAGCCGCGGUAAUACGGAGGGUGCGAGCGUUGUUCGGAAUCACUGGGCGUAAAGGGCGCGCAGGCGGUUUUGUAAGUCAGAUGUGAAAGCCCAUGGCUUAACUGUGGAAGUGCAUUUGAAACUGCAAGACUUGAGUACCAGAGGGGAAGGUGGAAUUCCCGGUGUAGAGGUGAAAUUCGUAGAUAUCGGGAGGAAUACCGGUGGCGAAGGCGACCUUCUGGCUGGAUACUGACGCUGAGGCGCGAAAGCGUGGGGAGCAAACAGGAUUAGAUACCCUGGUAGUCCACGCGGUAAACGAUGUGCACUAGAUGUCGGAGGUAUUGAUCCCUUCGGUGUCGCAGCUAACGCAUUAAGUGCACCGCCUGGGGAGUACGGUCGCAAGAUUAAAACUCAAA
rnacentral:rRNA from 1 species